AACGUUUUUUGCAACCUUUCUGCUUUAUUUUUAGGGAGGGCAUGUGUCCUUGCAAGACACUUCACGUUUACUCUUUUUGCUGCAGUAACAACUCUUGGGCUUUUGGAUGCUGCAAAUGUAUUUUUUUCUUUUUUCUUUCUUUUCUCUCUUUUUUUUUUUUUUUUUUUCCUCUGCUGAUGCAUUGCUGAGAAGAGGGCUGAAGGGUUAAGCCCUCCACAGCAAGGGAAAGUCAAUGCAGCAUCAGUAUGUGUUAUGAAUACCAAGGGCUACACCUAAAGAAGAGAGAGACUUCCUAGAGACCAGAUAAGAAAGAGCUGUAAUUAACUGAAAUCUCUCGGGGAGAGGUGAAAAGGACAGUAGAAAAACUAAGACUAGAAGAGACCAGAGCUAUGAUAUCUGAAAGGAAAUAUUUGAAAACAGGCUACGUUUACCUGGCAGGCUGGAGGAGACGAGGAAAAGACACCACGAAUCUUAACACGACUUCACUAUUUCCAAGUAAAUCCCCUUGACAAGCAAGCUUCCUGCAUUGACAACUAGAGAUCUGCUCUUAAUAAAGCAGCAAUAUAGAGUAUGAAUAGAAAAAAAUCCAUACAAAACUUUGAACAUGGCUUUGGCUGCCAGAUGAGUCAAAUUUCAUGUCCUCAUCCCCAUGGUGCCUGUGAGAUUCUCAGCUGUUCUGGAGAGCCUCACGUUGUCCAGGCGCAGUGUGCAGUGCUGUGGAUUGCUCUUCCACAUCCCCACGUGGCUCUGCCUUGCCGCAUCACACGCGGUGACUGAACUAUGCGGUGGGAGCAUUUUGUGGUGGGAAGUUGUUCUUGGAGACGGGGAAAAUACUGACUGCAUAAAAUCUUAUUUUCUCUCCUGAUACGCAACCUGAUGUCGAUAAAUGACUCUUCUCCCUCCACCCUCCCAGUUCUUCUUGCCCCACUUGAUUUUUCUUAAGCGAUCCUUCUAGUGAUACAGCACACUGUAUAAAAUGCUCCAGUGGUUGCUAGCAAUGCCCCACACUAGUUUUAAUAACAAAAUCUGACAACAAUUUUCACAUUCUUGGCGGAAUAAAGACAAGUGGUAAAGCCUGAGACUGACUGAGACACACCAAGGAAACCUAAACCAAAGUCAGAAAGAUGUUCAAGUAAGUUGAUGUCUGUGGGAUUUUUCUUUUUAACCACCUGUUCUGCUCAGCAUCAUGCUCAGUUUAUUAGCUUCAUCUUACUCUAGUAUAAGUUCAGACUGACCCAUUUCAGACUGUCCUGGCAAAUGCUUUGUAUUGGUGAAGUUGAGCUGGGAAGAUGUGGAAGAAUGCCAAAAUCUCUGCUAGUGAAGGGCUGUCAUUGUUGUGAUAGGAAAGUGUCUAGCUUUUCAAUGUUUCACAAAGUGCUCUUUACUAUUCUUCAUUUCUUAAACCCCAUAAAUAGUUGCUAUGAACAGUGUAGUAAAAAGAUCUGGUACUGGAGGUAACAGAGGUCUUUGAACUAUGGACAGAACUUCUGAAUUGUCUUAAAAUUGUGGACUUGGGAAUCUCCCAGGACUUGUAAGGCUCACAAUAACAUGGUAUUUCUUACUAUAAAAAAAGAAGUCACAGACAAGAAGCCGUUGUCAAUAAUGGUCACAAUUAGGAAACGGGACAACUUUCUGCUCCUCAGAAUACUGCA